UGCCCUAAGUAACGGCGAGUGAAGCGGCAACAGCUCAAAUUUGAAAUCUGGCUCUCGGGCCCGAGUUGUAAUUUGUAGAGGAUACUUUUGAUGCGGUGCCUUCCGAGUUCCCUGGAACGGGACGCCAUAGAGGGUGAGAGCCCCGUCUGGUUGGAUGCCAAAUCUCUGUAAAGUUCCUUCGACGAGUCGAGUAGUUUGGGAAUGCUGCUCUAAAUGGGAGGUAUAUGUCUUCUAAAGCUAAAUACCGGCCAGAGACCGAUAGCGCACAAGUAGAGUGAUCGAAAGAUGAAAAGCACUUUGAAAAGAGAGUUAAAAAGUACGUGAAAUUGUUGAAAGGGAAGCGUUUAUGACCAGACUUGGGCUUGGUUAAUCAUCUGGGGUUCUCCCCAGUGCACUUUUCCAGUCCAGGCCAGCAUCAGUUUUCCCCGGGGGAUAAAGACUUCGGGAAUGUGGCUCUCUUCGGGGAGUGUUAUAGCCCGUUGUGUAAUACCCUGGGGGGGACUGAGGUUCGCGCAUCUGCAAGGAUGCUGGCGUAAUGGUCAUCAACGACCCGUCUUGAAACACGGACCAAGGAGUCGUCUUCGUAUGCGAGUGUUCGGGUGUCAAACCCCUACGCGUAAUGAAAGUGAACGCAGGUGAGAGCUUCGGCGCAUCAUCGACCGAUCCUGAUGUUCUCGGAUGGAUUUGAGUAAGAGCAUACGGGGCCGGACCCGAAAGAAGGUGAACUAUGCCUGUAUAGGGUGAAGCCAGAGGAAACUCUGGUGGAGGCUCGCAGCGGUUCUGACGUGCAAAUCGAUCGUCAAAUAUGGGCAUG
rnacentral:rRNA from 1 species